rnacentral:rRNA from 1 species
UACGGAGGGGGCUAGCGUUGUUCGGAAUUACUGGGCGUAAAGCGCACGUAGGCGGCUUUGCAAGUUAUAGGUGAAAGCCCGGGGCUCAACUCCGGAAUUGCCUUUAAAACUGCAUCGCUAGAAUUGUGGAGAGGUAAGUGGAAUUCCGAGUGUAGAGGUGAAAUUCGUAGAUAUUCGGAAGAACACCAGUGGCGAAGGCGACUUACUGGACACAUAUUGACGCUGAGGUGCGAAAGCGUGGGGAGCAAACAGG